GAAUCUUGCGCAAUGGCCGAAAGGCUGACGCAGCGACGCCGCGUGCGGGAGGAAGCCCUUCGGGGUGUAAACCGCUGUCACCGGGGACGAAGGACAUGAGGGCGAACAGCGCUCAUGGGUGACGGUACCCGGGGAGGAAGCGCCGGCUAACUCUGUGCCAGCAGCCGCGGUAAGACAGAGGGCGCGAGCGUUGUUCGGAAUCACUGGGCGUAAAGCGCGCGCAGGCGGAUCCGUGCGUCGGGAGUGAAAGCCCGGGGCUCAACCCCGGUGUUUGCUUCCGAUACGGCGGGUCUAGGGACCGGUAGAGGCCGGUGGAAUUCCCGGUGUAGCGGUGGAAUGCGUAGAGAUCGGGAAGAACACCAGUGGCGAAGGCGGCCGGCUGGGCCGGAAAGCUCCCGUUUGGGAGUGUCCGACGCUCAUGCGCGAAAGCGUGGGGAGCAAAC
rnacentral:rRNA from 1 species